AGCGAACGUUAGCGGCGGGCCUAACACAUGCAAGUCGAACGCGAAAGGUCUUCGGACUGAGUAGAGUGGCGCACGGGUGAGUAACACGUAGGUAAUCUACCCUUUGGCGGGGGAUAACGUUCCGAAAGGAGCGCUAAUACCGCAUAAGACCACGGAGUCUCCGGACGCUGUGGGAAAAGGUGGCCUCUUCUUGAAAGCUACCACCGAAGGAUGAGCCUGCGUCCCAUCAGCUAGUUGGUAAGGUAAUGGCUUACCAAGGCGAAGACGGGUAGCUGGUUUGAGAGAAUGAUCAGCCACACUGGCAUUGGAACACGGGCCAGACUCCUACGGGAGGCAGCAGUGAGGAAUAUUGGGCAAUGGGCGAAAGCCUGACCCAGCCACGCCGCGUGAGUGAUGAAGGCCCUCGGGUCGUAAAGCUCUGUGGAGAGGGACGAAAACCCUGGUUUCAAAUAGGCUCCAGGCUUGACGGUACCUCUUUAGCAAGCACCGGCUAACUCUGUGCCAGCAGCCGACGG
rnacentral:rRNA from 1 species